GACGAACGCUGGCGGCGUGCUUAACACAUGCAAGUCGAACGGAAAGGCCCUGCUUUUGUGGGGUGCUCGGGUGGCGAACGGGUGAGUAACACGUGAGUAACCUGCCCUUGACUUUGGGAUAACUUCAGGAAACUGGGGCUAAUACCGGAUAGGAGCUCCUGCUGCAUGGUGGGGGUUGGAAAGUUUCGGCGGUUGGGGAUGGACUCGCGGCUUAUCAGCUUGUUGGUGGGGGAGUGGCUUACCAAGGCUUUGACGGGUAGCCGGCCUGAGAGGGUGACCGGCCACAUUGGGACUGAGAUACGGCCCAGACUGCUACGGGAGGCAGCAGUGGGGAAUAUUGCACAAUGGGCGGAAGCCUGAUGCAGAAACGCCGCGUGCGGGAAGACGGCCUUCGGGUUGUAAACCGCUUUCGCCUGUGACGAAGCGUGAGUGACGGUAAUGGGUAAAGAAGCACCGGCUAACUACGUG
rnacentral:rRNA from 1 species